GUCGUACAGGUCUCCGUAGGUGAACCUGCGGAAGGAUCAUUAUUGAUUGGUCGAAAGACCUUAUCAGAUUCUACCACCUCUGUGAACCGUUGACCUCCGGGUUAAUAAUCAAACAUCAGUGUAACGAACGUAAGAGUAUCUUAAUUAAACAAAACUUUUAACAACGGAUCUCUUGGCUCUCGCAUCGAUGAAGAACGCAGCGAAAUGCGAUAAGUAAUGUGAAUUGCAGAGUUCAGUGAAUCAUCGAAUCUUUGAACGCACCUUGCGCCUUUUGGUAUUCCGAAAGGCAUGCCUGUUUCAGUGUCAUGAAAUCUCAAUCUAAUAUGUUUUCUGAACAUGUUAGGCUUGGACUUGGGUGUCUGCCAGCAAUGGCUCACCUCAAAUGACUUAGUGGAACAUCCCACAUCAGUGUUAGACGUAAUAAGUUUCGUCUCUCCUUGUGGUGAUGACUGCUCAAAACCUGCCAUCGCGCACCUUUUGACUUUGACCUGAAAUCAGGUAGGGCUACCCGCUGAACUUAAGC
rnacentral:rRNA from 1 species